GCCCUAUUAGGGUCGCGCCUGGAGAGUUUCCAGUCCUCUACCAGUCUCGACUACGGGAGGGAGAGUCAAGCAGAGGCAUGUGCAUUUCAUUCCUAGCUUGGGCAGUGGCUGGCGAGUGGAAGGCGAUCCGCUACAAGU